rnacentral:rRNA from 1 species
UGGGGAAUAUUGCGCAAUGGGCGGAAGCCUGACGCAGCAACGCCGCGUGAGGGAUGACGGCCUUCGGGUUGUAAACCUCUUUCACCCACGACGAAGCGGGAGUGACGGUAGUGGGAGAAGAAGGACCGGCCAACUACGUGCCAGCAGCCGCGGUAAUACGUAGGGUCCGAGCGUUGUCCGGAAUUAUUGGGCGUAAAGGGCUCGUAGGCGGUUUGUCGCGUCGGGAGUGAAAUCUCGGAGCUUAACUCCGAGUCUGCUUCCGAUACGGGCUGACUAGAGGUAGGUAGGGGAGAGCGGAACUCCUGGUGUAGCGGUGGAAUGCGCAGAUAUCAGGAAGAACACCGGUGGCGAAGGCGGCUCUCUGGGCCUUACCUGACGCUGAGGAGCGAAAGCGUGGGUAGCGAACAG